AUGGAGGACAGCAUCUCCCACUACUACUCCGUCUACCUCGGCUGGGCUCUCGUCCUUGCGUCACUGGCGCUUGCACUUAGGCGCAGGAAGACGGCAAACAACGGCCUGCAGCUCCCGCCGGGGCCAUGGCAGCUGCCGAUCAUCGGAAGCUUGCACCACCUCGUGAGGCAACUCCCGCACCGCGCCAUGCGCGACCUGGCGCGGCGCCACGGGCCAGUCAUGCUGCUCCGGCUCGGCUCAAUGCCCACACUGGUGCUGUCGUCGCCAGACGCGGCACGCGAGGUACUCAAGAACCAGGACCUGGCGUUCGCGACGCGGCGGCUCACAGCUACCAUGGGCGUCCUCACCUACGGCGGCCGGGACAUGAUCUUCGCGCCCUACGGUGACUACUGGCGCCAGCUCCGCAAGAUCGCCGUGACGGAGGUCCUUACGGCGGGACGCGUGCGCUCCUUCAGAGCCAUCCGCGAGGAGGAGGUCGCCACCAUGCUGCGCGCCAUCCAGUCCGCCGGUCCCGUGGUGGAGUUGCGCGCGCUGCUGUCCGCGCUCAUCUCCGACGGCACGUUCCGCGCCGUCAUGGGCAACCGGUGCGACUCCAAGCAGCGGGACCUGUUCCUGCGUGAGCUUGACAGAAUAGUCCGCCUUGCCACCGGGCUUAACACGGCGGACCUGUGGCCGUCAUCGUGGCUUGCCGGACGGCUCAGCAACGCCCUACGCCGUGCCGAGGAGAUCCAUGCCAGCGUGUUCGGGAUCAUCAAGGGCAUCAUCCACUAGCAUCUAGAGAGGAGGGAGGAGGGCCAGGGCGGCGAGGAGGACGUGCUGGACGUGCUCCUCAAAAUACACAAAGACGGUGUCAUCGACAUGGUUGCCGUCGAAGGCGUCAUCUUUGACAUCUUCAGCGCCGGGAGCGAGACGUCGGCGACGACACUAGAAUGGGUGAUGGCGGAGCUGAUGAAGAACCCAGCAGCGAUGGUGAAGGCGACGGCGGAGGUACGGCGAGCCUUCGAGGGUGAUGGCACGGUCGAUGAGGGCAAGCUCGGGGAGCUCCCAUACAUGCGCCUGGUCAUCCGGGAGACGUUCCGUCUGCACCCGCCGCUGCCGCUGAUGCUCCCGCGCGAGUGCCGGGAACCAUGCAAAGUUCUGGGCUUCGACGUGCUCAAGGGCACGCAGGUGAUCGUCAAUACCUGGGCACUAGGCCGUGAUGAGCGAUCCUGGGGGCCCGACGCGGCCGAGUUCCGGCCGGAGCGCUUCGAGUCUGGCGCUGGGGUUGACGUGGACUUUAGGGGGACAGAUUUCCGUUCGGCGCUGGGCGGAGAAUGUGCCCCGGGAUGGCGUUCGGCCUGGCCAGCGUGGAGCUCCCGCUUGCUAGCAUGCUGCUCCACUUUGACUGGGAGGCGCCCAACAUCUCAAACCCGGCCGAGUUCGACAUGA
rnacentral:rRNA from 1 species